UAAAGCGUAAAAGAGCGUAGAGUGAAUGCCUUGGCAUUGGGAGCCGACGAAGGACGUGGUUAACUGCGAAAAGCUACGGGGAGUCGUAAGCAGACAUUGAUCCGUAGAUGUCCGAAUGGAGCAAUCCGCAUGGAGUUAGUCCAUGCAUCCAUAAGUGAAUUCAUAGCUUAUGGAGGGGAACCGCCUGAACUGAAACAUCUAAGUAGGGCGAGGAAGAGAAAUCAAACGAGAUUUCGUAAGUAGUGGCGAGCGAACGCGAAAGAGGCUAAACCAAGAGAAGAAAUUCUUUUGGGGUUACGGACUGCGAUAUGUAUCUGAGGACUUAGCAGAAUGGUAUGGGAAAGCCAACCAGAGAAUGUGAUAGUCAUGUAUGCGAAAAGGAAUCAGAGCUAGCAGGAUCCAAAGUACCGCGGGACACGAGGAAUCCCGUGGGAAGUCGGGGGGACCACCCUCCAAGCCUAAAUACUACCCAAUGACCGAUAGCGAAAAGUACUGUGAAGGAACGGUGAAAAGAACCCCGGGAGGGGAGUGAAAAAGAACCUGAAACUCUAUGCUUACAAGCACAUAGAGCACGUCAAAGUGUGAUAUGGUACCUUUUGUAGAAUGGUCCGGCGAGUUAUUGUAUGCAGCAAGGUUAAGGUCUUCAGGACUGAAGCCGAAGCGAGAGCGAGUCUGACAAGGGCGAAAAGUUGCAUGCAAUAGACCCGAAACCGGGUGACCUAGCCAUGUUCAGGUUGAAGUGGAGGUAAAGCUCCAUGGAGGACCGAACCGACCUCCGUUGAAAAGGCGGCGGAUGAAAUGUGGCUAGCGGAGAAAUUCCAAUCGAACCCGGAAAUAGCUGGUUCUCCCCGAAAUAGCUUUAGGGCUAGCGUUGUAUUAGAUUUCUGGGGGUAAAGCACUGAAUAGGCUAGGGGCCGAGAGGUUACUGAACCUUAUCAAACUAAGAAUACCAGAAAAUUGAUGUACAGCAGUCAGACUAUGUGAGAUAAGUCUCAUAGUCAAAAGGGAAACAGCCCAGACCCACAGCUAAGGUCCCAAAGACAGUUUAAGUGGAAAAGGAUGUGAGGAUGCCCAGACAACCAGGAUGUUGGCUUAGAAGCAGCCACUCAUUUAAAGAGUGCGUAAUAGCUCACUGGUCGAGUGAUCCUGCGCCGAAAAUUCAACGGGGCUAAAAUUUGUACCGAAGCUUGGGCUUGAUACAUUCGUAUCAGGGGUAGGGGAGCGUCAUGUAUGAGGUGAAGUCAUAGCGGAAGCGGUGGUGGAUUGUACAUGAGAGAGAAUGCCGGAAUGAGUAGCGAGAAUUAUGUGAGAAUCAUAAUGGCCGAAAAUCUAAGGUUUCCUGAGGAAGGUUCGUCCGCUCAGGGUAAGCCGGGAGCUAAGGUGAGGCGGAAACGCGUAGCCGAUGCACAUACGGUAGAGAUUCCGUAGCCUCCGAAAAGUAAAGCACAGGGACGCUUCAGAAGUGUUACGCCGGGCGAUGGUUGCCCCGGUUGUAAAGGACACAAUUGAGUGGAAGGUAACAUGGAUGGAGACAAGAAAAGCUGUGUGUAUCUGAGGAGCCCGUACCGCAAACCGACACAGGUAGAUAGGAAGAAGAUUCUAAGGCCAGCGGGAGAAGGGUUGUUAAGGAACUCGGCAAGUUGACCCCGUAACUUCGGGAGAAGGGGUGCUUACGAAGGUAAGCCGCAGAGAAUAGGCCCAAGCGACUGUUUAGCAAAAACACAGCUCUAUGCUAAAUCGAAAGAUGACGUAUAUGGGGUGACACCUGCCCGGUGCUGGAAGGUUAAGAGGAGAUGUGAGAGCAUUGAAUUGAAGCCCCAGUAAACGGCGGCCGUAACUAUAACGGUCCUAAGGUAGCGAAAUUCCUUGUCAGGUAAGUUCUGACCCGCACGAAUGGUGUAACGAUUUGGGCACUGUCUCAACAACCUACCCGGCGAAAUUGUAGUACCGGUGAAGAUGCCGGUUACCCGCGACUAGACGGAAAGACCCCAUGGAGCUUCACUGUAGCUUAAUAUUGAAUUUUGGUAUUUCAUGUACAGGAUAGGUGGGAGACUGGGAAAUACAGGCGUCAGCUUGUAUGGAGUCACUGUUGGGAUACCACUCUUGAGGUGCUGAAAUUCUAACCUGCGUCUUUGAAUCAAGACGGGGGACAUUGUUAGGUGGGCAGUUUGACUGGGGCGGUCGCC
rnacentral:rRNA from 1 species